rnacentral:rRNA from 1 species
GGGCCCGCACAAGCGGAGGAACAUGUGGUUUAAUUCGAUGAUACGCGAGGAACCUUACCCGGGCUUGAAAUGCAUCUGACAGGAGCAGAGACGCUCUCUCCCUUCGGGGCAGAUGUGUAGGUGCUGCAUGGUUGUCGUCAGCUCGUGCCGUGAGGUGUCGGCUUAAGUGCCAUAACGAGCGCAACCCUCAUCAUUAGUUACCAUCAGGUUAAGCUGGGGACUCUAAUGAGACUGCCAUCGUAAGAUGUGAGGAAGGUGGGGAUGACGUCAAAUCAGCACGGCCCUUACGUCCGGGGCGACACACGUGUUACAAUGGAUGGUACAAAGGGCAGCUACAUGGCGACAUGAUGCUAAUCUCCAAAACCAUUCUCAGUUCGGAUCGAAGUCUGCAACUCGACUUCGUGAAGCUGGAUUCGCUAGUAAUCGCGCAUCAGCCACGGCGCGGUGAAUACGUUCCCGGGCCUU